UACGAAGGGGGCUAGCGUUGCUCGGAAUCACUGGGCGUAAAGGGUGCGUAGGCGGGUCUUUAAGUCAGGGGUGAAAUCCUGGAGCUCAACUCCAGAACUGCCUUUGAUACUGAAGAUCUUGAGUUCGGGAGAGGUGAGUGGAACUGCGAGUGUAGAGGUGAAAUUCGUAGAUAUUCGCAAGAACACCAGUGGCGAAGGCGGCUCACUGGCCCCGAUACUGACGCUGAGGCACGAAAGCGUGGGGAGCGAACAGG
rnacentral:rRNA from 1 species